rnacentral:rRNA from 1 species
UUACCCUACGGGAGGCAGCAGUGGGGGAUAUUGCACAAUGGAGGAAACUCUGAUGCAGCGACGCCGCGUGAGGGAAGACGGUCUUCGGAUUGUAAACCUCUGUCUUUGGAGAAGAAAAUGACGGUACCCAAAGAGGAAGCUCCGGCUAACUACGUGCCAGCAGCCGCGGUAAUACGUAGGUGGCAAGCGUUGUCCGGAUUUACUGGGUGUAAAGGGCGUGUAGCCGGGCUGACAAGUCAGAUGUGAAAUUCCGGGGCCCAACCCCGGACCUGCAUUUGAAACUGUUGGUCUUGAGUAUCGGAGAG